rnacentral:rRNA from 1 species
CACGUAGGCGGCCAUUCAAGUCAGAGGUGAAAGCCCGGGGCUCAACCCCGGAACUGCCUUUGAAACUAGAUGGCUUGAAUCUUGGAGAGGCGAGUGGAAUUCCGAGUGUAGAGGUGAAAUUCGUAGAUAUUCGGAAGAACACCAGCGGCGAAGGCGACUCGCUGGACAAGUAUUGACGCUGAGGUGCGAAAGCGUGGGGAGCAAACA